AAAGGGACUCUCACCUUUGUUGCAUUUUUACACUUUUUUUGGAUAAGGUUAAAUUGGUAUUAAUAAGGUAAUAACACUCUAAUAUGCAAGACAGACCCACCAGGAGUAAAAACAAACAAUUAUUUUACUCUCAUAAUAUUUAGUGAAAACUUCAACCAAUACAAUUCUUCGGACCGAAUUACCUUAUUGGCCGACAGACCUGUCUGUUUGCUGCAUGGAUAGAUAAGGUUUUCCGUCUGCUUCUUGUGGCGCAUUCGGGCCCGCGUCAUCAAGGCGCGUCCUCAACUAGAGGGUUUGUUUUGAUUCCACGGCAGACAGUAGCGAGUAGCGACCGUAGCGACUGACGAUGGCAGACCAAAGUGGUCCACGGCGUACUGAAACUGCACCAUUCAGUCCGAUUAGGGGACUCAUCUCGGACUCGGACUCAGAGAGUUACCCUCCCCUGGAGCCUCAGGAAGACCUCCAGACUGUUGGCCACCAACUGCACCAUUCAGUCCGACAAGGGGACCCGAUUCGGCCUCAGAAGCCAAGUGGUCCCGCUCCCCUGGAUGAUUCUCAGGACCUCCAGACCGUUGGCAACCAACCGCACCACUCAGUCCGAUUAGGGGACCCGUUUCGGACUCAGACGCGAAGUUGUCCCGCUACUCUGGAGCUCCAGGAAGACCUCCAGACCGUUGGCAACCAACCGCCACACUCAGUCCGAUUACGGGACCCAUUUCGGACUCAGACGCGACGUUGUCCCGCUACUCUGGAGCUCCAGGAAGACCUCCAGACCGUUGGCAACCAACCGCCACACUCAGUCCGAUUACGGGACCCAUUUCGGACUCAGACGCGACGUUGUCCCGCUACUCUGGAGCUCCAGGAAGACCUCCAGACCGUUGGCAACCAACCGCCACACUCAGUCCGAUUACGGGACCCAUUUCGGGCUCAGACGCGACGUUGUCCCGCUAAUCUGGAGCUCCAGGAUGGUAGAUAUUAUGACCCCUGGGAGUCUAAACAUAACCCAUGGGAGUCUAAACAUAACCCAUGGGAGUCUAGAACUUUUGUACUGUAGCGACCCUGGGACAGUUAAAUACUUUGUGUGUUAUGUGUUACAUUAUAUUUCGUUGUCCGUUAUGCCAGUUGUUCUAUGUGCAUGUAUUGUAAUGUUCUUCUUGUCAAUCAGCGUGGGGGCGAAUCAUUAGGUCAGCUGGGGGAGGGCCUUGGAAGAACAGGAGGGUGGGGGCCUGCACGCGAGUGAGACCGUGUUGGGGGUUGCUGGGGUAACCGGGGUUUGUUUUGUGUCGGUUUUCUGCCAUUGGUUACAAUGUUACGGGUUUCAGUGACCUGGUUUUGGUUCAUUAAAACUACCUUCAACUACUAAUGACUCGACAUCAUUAUGUCACCGGCGAGCCAUGUUUGAACUGAUGUCAUUUAGGUUUUGAUACAUGCCAAAUAAACAUAUCUCCAGAAACUAGAGCUUGUCAGCUUUCAAAUGAAGUAUCAUACAUCCAUCUAGGACUUAGGGUUACUGUGUUAUAAGCUUUUCCAUUUGGGUAUGUGUAUAGGCGAAAAAAAACAAAAUACUGCCGGGGCUUAACAGGUU